rnacentral:sRNA from 2 species
GACAUACUCAUAUUGUGUAAAUAACACACACGUAUCGACACAUAUUCCGGGGUGCCCUUUGGGGUCGGUAAUAUGGGAUACGUGGAGGCAUAACC